AGCAAGGUGAAUUCCCAUCUAACCUACUGCUCAGACAAAAACUCUCCUCCAACCCAGAGACUGCAAUCACAGCGAAGAUCCACCUGAAGAGCACUAAAAAAGGAUAAUAGCUGAAAUUUCUUCCUGCUCAGUAUGCACGAUCAAGCAGAUUUCAAGGGUGAUGGGGCAAGGAGAAGGUCUUUGUCUCGCUCAUUAAUCACCACGGUGUGAGCAGCGCGUGUCCCAGAAUAGCUGAGGCCUCAUGGAUCAAAGGUAUUGGAAUGGGAAGUGGAACGGAGGCAAGCACACCCCCUGCCUUGCUGUCUCUGGUGCCUUUGGGAUGCAAAAGAUGCUGUGGCUGGCAGAUCCAUUCCGCUCUCUGACCAGAUGGAACACCUGAUGGCUGCAAAAUGGAGCCGUCCCCUCUGGAAACUAUUAUUUCUUCCCUGGAUGUGACACGUUUCAGGUCUGAGUGGCUGCUGACCAGGAAGCAGCAAAGGCAGCACUUCACCCAGCUGCUCCUCAGCCCCCUGCCAAGGAGCAGAGAUUGGGGCAAUGUGGUGCUCACUCCUGCUGUCAGCUCAGAGCAAAGCAGCUUCUGCUGAGUGAGAGUCUGUGGUUUUAGUUUGUGGUUCUGUGCCAAUGUAUAUCCGAGCUCACAGGGCACAUUGCUGCUGGGUAUCUCAUGGGUCCACACUGAGCCUGGGAAAGAAAGGCUGCUGAGGGGUCCUGGUGGGAGCUCUCAGUGCUUCAAGGCUGUGUCUGAUGAUGGCUGGCAGCAUCCCUUGAUCCAUCCAGCUGAGCCAGCAGAUCCAAGGAGGAGUGACAUGGUUACAUGCCUGCAGCUGGCAGGUGCACACAGAUGUGCACACAUGCAUGCAACGGGUCCCAGUGAGCUCGCAUGGCAAAGCAAGGCAAGUCAAGGCAGUCUCUUUCCAGCCCUGCAUGGGAGACGGGCAGCAUCGCAGCGGACAGCCGCUCCCCUCCCGGCGCUGCACAUCGUCUGCCCGCAGGCUCCAUCUGGUGGAAAAUCCUCACCCAUAAAGCGGAGAAGAAUCCAGCCCUCGGUCCAGGACCGUGGGACCGCGGCUCAGGGAGCAUCCCGGCUUCCAAACCGCUUGGUAAGGCAAUGCGUCCCUGGACGGUUACUCCGAGAAAUAAAUGUGGUGGAAUUUAUUUCAACAGAUGGAGGACGAUUUUCUCCCGGCCGUUUAAGUGACACAUCGUGCACCUCCCUUCGCCAGCAUCCCUGUGCAGCAGAUUGA
rnacentral:lncRNA from 1 species